rnacentral:lncRNA from 12 species
AUCUUUGCAGCUUGCAAAGAAAUUUGAGAUGAUACAAUUUCCUGCAAACCAUGUGGCCCAGGCUCCAAUUUUCUCCCCCUCCCUGACACCCACUAGCAACCUUUCAGCAAAUUGAAGUAGAAGCUAAAGAAACUUCUCUUUUCCCUUCAUGUCCUUGGCUGUGUAUAAAGAAAACAAAAAGAUGGCACGAACAACGUGGGUUGUUAAAUGCUAUGGGAGGACAAUUUCCAAGUCUUUGCUCAGUUGUGGCUUCUCCAGUUUUAAUUCUCAUCCAUAAGAAGGCCUCUGUGACUGACCAGAAGGAUGGGAUAUGCUGGUGGUGACUCUGUCAUUCACUCUGACACGUUUGCUUCUGGUGGUGUUUUGCUGUAUGUAAUCCAGAAGCUGCUGGACACUGAUGUCCUCGGGCUCUGAAGGCAGAGGAACUGGAGUUGGAUCUGCUGAACCACAAAGGAUGGCGGCAGGAAGGAAGUACCAACAAGUUCUGCCUCUGACCAAUCAGUUCCACCUCACUGAUGCUACACGGGAGAGGAGACUCGGCUCCCUCUGGACUAUAUGAACACUGUGGGGAGGCUGGGAAGGAGGCAUCAACCAGGUUUGUACAGAGUCUAACUCCCUACUUGGCCCUAUCCACAGUGGGCAGAAUUAGAAACAGUAUUGUUUAGUCCUGCUUCAUAUUGCCUACUUUAAUCUCUAUGAUGCUGGCUCAAUCUGGAGGUUCAGCUGCCCACUGGGCUUUGAUGACACCACAUGUAGUGAGUAGGGGAAUGCUGAGCUGACUCACACUACUCAUUGAUACUGGGUAGAAGUAGAAGCUGACCUCACUACAGUGGUCCUCCUCAUGUUUCUUUUUUUAAGGGUUAAUGGAAGUUUUGGAGUUUUGUGGGUUUAUAAUUUUCUUCACAUUUGGAACAUUUCCAGCAAUUCUUCAAAUAUUUUUUCAGUCUGCUAUUGACUCCUUCAGGGACUCAAUUUAACAUGUAUAUUUGGCUGCUUGAAAUAUUCCCACAGUUUGCUAAUGCUCUUCUCAUUUUAAAAAAUUGUUAUAUCUCUUUGUUUCACUUUGAAUGAUUUCUGUUUCUUUUUUAAAGAUUUUAUUUGUGGGAUCCCUGGGUGGCGCAGCGGUUUAGCGCCUGCCUUUGGCCCAGAGCGCGAUCCUGGAGACCCAGGAUCGAGUCCCACAUCGGGCUCCCAGUGCAUGGAGCCUGCUUCUCCCUCUGCCUGUGUCUCUGCCUCUCUCUCUCUCUCUCUCUCUCUGUGUGACUAUCAUAAAUAAAUAAAAAUUAAAAAAAAUAAAUAAAGAUUUU